GCUUCGGUAGCUUAGUGGCAAAGCGUACGCCUCGGAUGUGGAAGGUCACGGGUUUAAACCCGGCCGAAUCA